rnacentral:rRNA from 1 species
AACGAACGCUGGCGGCAUGCCUAACACAUGCAAGUCGAACGAGACCUUCGGGUCUAGUGGCGCACGGGUGCGUAACGCGUGGGAAUCUACCCUCAGGUUCGGAAUAACUCAGAGAAAUUUGAGCUAAUACCGGAUGAUGACGUAAGUCCAAAGAUUUAUCGCCUGAGGAUGAGCCCGCGUAGGAUUAGGUAGUUGGUGAGGUAAAGGCUCACCAAGCCGACGAUCCUUAGCUGGUCUGAGAGGAUGAUCAGCCACACUGGGACUGAGACACGGCCCAGACUCCUACGGGAGGCAGCAGUGGGGAAUAUUGGACCAUGGGCGAAAGCCUGAUCCAGCAAUGCCGCGUGAGUGAUGAAGGCCUUAGGGUUGUAAAGCUCUUUUACCCGGGAUGAUAAUGACAGUACCGGGAGAAUAAGCUCCGGCUAACUCCGUG